UACGUAGGGUGCGAGCGUUAAUCGGAAUUACUGGGCGUAAAGCGUGCGCAGGCGGUUUGCUAAGACCGAUUUGAAAUCCCCGGGCUCAACCUGGGAACUGCAUUGGUGACUGGCAAGCUAGAGUAUGGCAGAGGGGGGUAGAAUUCCACGUGUAGCAGUGAAAUGCGUAGAGAUGUGGAGGAAUACCGAUGGCGAAGGCAGCCCCCUGGGCCAAUACUGACGCUCAUGCACGAAAGCGUGGGGAGCAAACAGG
rnacentral:rRNA from 1 species